UGUGAGCUCGAUGAGUAGGGCGGGACACGUGGUAUCCUGUCUGAAUAUGGGGGGACCAUCCUCCAAGGCUAAAUACUCCUGACUGACCGAUAGUGAACCAGUACCGUGAGGGAAAGGCGAAAAGAACCCCGGCGAGGGGAGUGAAAAAGAACCUGAAACCGUGUACGUACAAGCAGUGGGAGCACGCUUAGGCGUGUGACUGCGUACCUUUUGUAUAAUGGGUCAGCGACUUAUAUUCUGUAGCAAGGUUAACCGAAUAGGGGAGCCGAAGGGAAACCGAGUCUUAACUGGGCGUUAAGUUGCAGGGUAUAGACCCGAAACCCGGUGAUCUAGCCAUGGGCAGGUUGAAGGUUGGGUAACACUAACUGGAGGACCGAACCGACUAAUGUUGAAAAAUUAGCGGAUGACUUGUGGCUGGGGGUGAAAGGCCAAUCAAACCGGGAGAUAGCUGGUUCUCCCCGAAAGCUAUUUAGGUAGCGCCUCGUGAAUUCAUCUCCGGGGGUAGAGCACUGUUUCGGCAAGGGGGUCAUCCCGACUUACCAACCCGAUGCAAACUGCGAAUACCGGAGAAUGUUAUCACGGGAGACACACGGCGGGUGCUAACGUCCGUCGUGAAGAGGGAAACAACCCAGACCGCCAGCUAAGGUCCCAAAGUCAUGGUUAAGUGGGAAACGAUGUGGGAAGGCCCAGACAGCCAGGAUGUUGGCUUAGAAGCAGCCAUCAUUUAAAGAAAGCGUAAUAGCUCACUGGUCGAGUCGGCCUGCGCGGAAGAUGUAACGGGGCUAAACCAUGCACCGAAGCUGCGGCAGCGACGCUGAUGCGUUGUUGGGUAGGGGAGCGUUCUGUAAGCCUGCGAAGGUGUGCUGUGAGGCAUGCUGGAGGUAUCAGAAGUGCGAAUGCUGACAUAAGUAACGAUAAAGCGGGUGAAAAGCCCGCUCGCCGGAAGACCAAGGGUUCCUGUCCAACGUUAAUCGGGGCAGGGUGAGUCGACCCCUAAGGCGAGGCCGAAAGGCGUAGUCGAUGGGAAACAGGUUAAUAUUCCUGUACUUGGUGUUACUGCGAAGGGGGGACGGAGAAGGCUAUGUUGGCCGGGCGACGGUUGUCCCGGUUUAAGCGUGUAGGCUGGUUUUCCAGGCAAAUCCGGAAAAUCAAGGCUGAGGCGUGAUGACGAGGCACUACGGUGCUGAAGCAACAAAUGCCCUGCUUCCAGGAAAAGCCUCUAAGCAUCAGGUAACAUCAAAUCGUACCCCAAACCGACACAGGUGGUCAGGUAGAGAAUACCAAGGCGCUUGAGAGAACUCGGGUGAAGGAACUAGGCAAAAUGGUGCCGUAACUUCGGGAGAAGGCACGCUGAUAUGUAGGUGAGGUCCCUCGCGGAUGGAGCUGAAAUCAGUCGAAGAUACCAGCUGGCUGCAACUGUUUAUUAAAAACACAGCACUGUGCAAACACGAAAGUGGACGUAUACGGUGUGACGCCUGCCCGGUGCCGGAAGGUUAAUUGAUGGGGUCAGCGCAAGCGAAGCUCUUGAUCGAAGCCCCGGUAAACGGCGGCCGUAACUAUAACGGUCCUAAGGUAGCGAAAUUCCUUGUCGGGUAAGUUCCGACCUGCACGAAUGGCGUAAUGAUGGCCAGGCUGUCUCCACCCGAGACUCAGUGAAAUUGAACUCGCUGUGAAGAUGCAGUGUACCCGCGGCAAGACGGAAAGACCCCGUGAACCUUUACUAUAGCUUGACACUGAACAUUGAGCCUUGAUGUGUAGGAUAGGUGGGAGGCUUUGAAGUGUGGACGCCAGUCUGCAUGGAGCCGACCUUGAAAUACCACCCUUUAAUGUUUGAUGUUCUAACGUUGACCCGUAAUCCGGGUUGCGGACAGUGUCUGGUGGGUAGUUUGACUGGGGCGGUCUCCUCCUAAAGAGUAACGGAGGAGCACGAAGGUUGGCUAAUCCUGGUCGGACAUCAGGAGGUUAGUGCAAUGGCAUAAGCCAGCUUGACUGCGAGCGUGACGGCGCGAGCAGGUGCGAAAGCAGGUCAUAGUGAUCCGGUGGUUCUGAAUGGAAGGGCCAUCGCUCAACGGAUAAAAGGUACUCCGGGGAUAACAGGCUGAUACCGCCCAAGAGUUCAUAUCGACGGCGGUGUUUGGCACCUCGAUGUCGGCUCAUCACAUCCUGGGGCUGAAGUAGGUCCCAAGGGUAUGGCUGUUCGCCAUUUAAAGUGGUACGCGAGCUGGGUUUAGAACGUCGUGAGACAGUUCGGUCCCUAUCUGCCGUGGGCGCUGGAGAACUGAGGGGGGCUGCUCCUAGUACGAGAGGACCGGAGUGGACGCAUCACUGGUGUUCGGGUUGUCAUGCCAAUGGCACUGCCCGGUAGCUAAAUGCGGAAGAGAUAAGUGCUGAAAGCAUCUAAGCACGAAACUUGCCCCGAGAUGAGUUCUCCCUGACCCUUUAAGGGUCCUGAAGGAACGUUGAAGACGACGACGUUGAUAGGCCGGGUGUGUAAGCGCAGCGAUGCGUUGAGCUAACCGGUACUAAUGAACCGUGAGGCUUAACCUU
rnacentral:rRNA from 1 species